rnacentral:rRNA from 1 species
UACAGAGGUCUCAAGCGUUGUUCGGAUUCAUUGGGCGUAAAGGGUGCGUAGGUGGCGGGGCAAGUCAGGUGUGAAAUCUCGGGGCUCAACCCCGAAACUGCACUUGAUACUGCCUUACUCGAGUACUGGAGAGGAGACUGGAAUUUACGGUGUAGCAGUGAAAUGCGUAGAUAUCGUAAGGAAGACCAGUGGCGAAGGCGAGUCUCUGGACAGUUACUGACACUGAGGCACGAAGGCCAGGGGAGCAAACGGGG